GUGUAGGGCCAUACCACCCUGAACGCACCCGAUCUCAUCUGAUCUCAGAAGCUAAGCAGGGAUGGGCCCGGUUAGUACUUGGAUGGGAGAAAUAUUUAGGAGGUAAAGGUAACAUCACC
rnacentral:rRNA from 1 species